rnacentral:rRNA from 1 species
GACGAACGCUGGCGGCGUGCUUAACACAUGCAAGUCGAACGGAAAGGCCCUGCUUUUGUGGGGUGCUCGAGUGGCGAACGGGUGAGUAACACGUGAGUAACCUGCCCUUGACUUUGGGAUAACUUCAGGAAACUGGGGCUAAUACCGGAUAGGAGCUCCUGCUGCAUGGUGGGGGUUGGAAAGUUUCGGCGGUUGGGGAUGGACUCGCGGCUUAUCAGCUUGUUGGUGGGGUAGUGGCUUACCAAGGCUUUGACGGGUAGCCGGCCUGAGAGGGUGACCGGCGACAUGGGGACUGAGAUACGGCGCAGACUCCUACGGGAGGCAGCAGUGGGGAAUAUUGCACAAUGGGCGGAAGCCUGAUGCAGCAACGCUGCGUGCGGGAUGACGGCUUUCGGGUGGUAAACCGCUUUCGCCUGUGACGAAGCGUGAGUGACGGUAAUUGGUAAAGAAGCACCGGCUAACUACGUG